CAGUCGCCACGGGAAUACGAAGGGGGCUAGCGUUGUUCGGAUUUACUGGGCGUAAAGGGCGCGUAGGCGGACUGAUAAGUCAGGGGUGAAAUCCCAAGGCUCAACCUUGGAACUGCCUUUGAUACUGUUUGUCUUGAGUUCGAGAGAGGUAAGUGGAACUGCGAGUGUAGAGGUGAAAUUCGUAGAUAUUCGCAAGAACACCAGUGGCGAAGGCGGCUUACUGGCUCGAAACUGACGCUGAGGCGCGAAAGCGUGGGGAGCGAACAGGAUUAGAUACCCCCGUAGUCCCUGUCUCUUAUAC
rnacentral:rRNA from 1 species